CAAAACGACUCUCGGCAACGGAUAUUUCGGCUCUUGCAUCGAUGAAGAACGUAGCGAAAUGCGAUACGUGGUGUGAAUUGCAGAAUCCCGUGAACCAUCGAGUUUUUGAACGCAAGUUGCGCCCAAAGCCUUUUGGUUGAGGGCACGUCUGCCUGGG
rnacentral:rRNA from 1 species